rnacentral:rRNA from 1 species
UACGAGGGGGGCAAGCGUUGUUCGGAAUUAUUGGGCGUAAAGGGCGCGUAGGCGGUUUGACAAGUCUGAUGUGAAAUCUCUGGGCUCAACCCAGAGUCUGCAUUAGAAACUGUCGGGCUUGAGUAUGGGAGAGGUGAGUGGAAUUUCCGGUGUAGCGGUGAAACGCGUAGAUAUCGGAAGGAACACCUGUGGCGAAAGCGGCUCACUGGACCAUAACUAACGCUGAGGCGCGAAAGCUAGGGGAGCAAACAGG